rnacentral:rRNA from 1 species
GACGAACCGUGCGAACGUUAUUCGGAAUCAUUGGGCUUAAAGCGCGUGUAGGCGGGUCCGUGCGUCUGUCGCUGAAAUCCCCCGGCUCAACCGGGGAACGGACGCGGAUACGACGGGUCUGGAGGGGCAUAGGGGGACCUGGAACUUCCGGUGGAGCGGUGAAAUGCGUUGAGAUCGGAAGGAACGCCCGUGGCGAAAGCGAGGUCCUGGAUGCCUACUGACGCUGAGACGCGAAGGCCAGGGGAGCAAAGCGGG